GAGUUUUUUGAGAGUGUCUUAGAUCUGAAACUUCUCCUUCUACUUUCCGUCUUUGGAAGAGUCCAAAUCAAGAAGAAGGAGGCACCUGAUCAACCAUCAAAGAAGGAUCAGCGCAGUACUAGCAUACUGUGCUGAUUUCCUGAAGCAGGACUUCUGAUCGAGAUUCGUGGGCUCGUGUGGACGACUCCUAGAGGCCGGAUGCGUGUGCGGCUUGCAACAUCGUCCUUAAGCCCAGAUCAGUGAGGUUAGAGAGUCUAAAUCGCAAGGUAAUAGAUCUGAUCUAUUGUUUAAUACAUACAUUAAAUGUGGUAUAAAAACAUGUUGAUUUGAUCAACAUGUAGUUCAUGCUAUAUUUAUAUAUUUUAAUUUAUGAUUU
rnacentral:lncRNA from 1 species